rnacentral:rRNA from 1 species
CUAUGGCCUCAGAUCAGACAUGGCGACUCGCUGAAUUUAAUCAUAUUACUAAGCGGAGGAAAAGAAACUAACCAGGAUUCCCUCAUUAAUGGCGAGUGGAGAGGGAAGAGCCCAGCACCGAAUCCCCAUUCAGCGGCAGGCAUGGGAAAUGUGGCAUACAGAAAACCGACUCCCCGGCGUUGCACAGGGGGCUCAAGCUCUUCUGAUCGAGGAUCACCCCCCCCCCCCGUAUGGUGUUAGGCCGAUAGCGGCCUCUGGCAUGCUGAGAUCGGGUCUUCUCGGAGUCGGGUUGCUCGGGAAUGCAGCGGGUAUUAAACUCUAUCUAAAGCUAAAUACGGGCACAAGACCGAUGGCCAACUAGUACCGUAAGGGAUAGUUGAAAAGAACUUUGAAUAGAGAGUUAGGGCAUGAAACCAUUGAUAGGUAAACAGGUGGGGUCCAUGCAGUCAGCCCGCAGGAUUCAACAUGGCGGGCAGGUCCGUCGCCUGAAACGGCGGAUGCCCUCACCGGACUGCCGCCCGGGCACACCUGGCCCACUCAGGGUGCAUUUCCUCUGUGGCGGUGCACCGCGACCGGCUCUGGGUCGGCUGGGAAGGCCUCAGGGGGCAUAGUUGGCUCUCCGCUCCGGCAGAGAGUGUUACAGCCCCCUGACAGCAGUUUUGCUGUGGCCGCGUGGCCGAGGGAGAUUGACCGCAGCCCCGCCCUUCUCCGGCAACUGUCCUGGCCCCUCUUUGGGUCGCCAGGGCGGUGACAGGAGUCGGGGCUCCCGAUGCGACUGUCGACUGUGGUGGUCUGCCCUCAGCGCACCCUGAACAUGUCAUGCCGCGGUGCAGUGAGGCCCACGAAGGGUGCCAGCGGUCUGAGGUAAUGUUGGUUACCCACCCGACCCGUCUUGAAACACGGACCAGGGAGUGUAACACGUGCACAAGUCGGUGGGCUGAACAAAACCCUAUGGCACAAUGAAGGUGAGGGCCGGCGCGCACCGGCUGGGAUGCGAUCCCGUUGUAGUGGGUGCACCACCGGCCCAUCUCGCCAGCUCUGUCGGGGAGGUGGAGCAUGAGCCUGUGUGAUAGGACCCGUAAGAUGGUGAACCGACCUGGGUAUACGGGCAAUUAAUCAAACAAUCUAGUAGUUGGUUCCCUCUGAUGUUUCCCUCAGGAUAGCUGGCGCAAGGAAACCCCAGCUUUAUCUGGUAAAGCGAAUGAUUAGAGGUCUUGGUGCUGAAAUUAUCUCAACCUAUUCUCAAACUUUAAAUGUGUAAGAAGCCCGGCUCGCUGGCGUGGAGCCGGGCAUUGAAUGCAAGUACCCAGUGGGCCACUUUUGGUAAGCAAAACUGACGCUGUGGGAUGAACCGAACGCUGGGUUAAGGCACCCCAUGCCGACGCUGAUCAGAUCCCAGAAAAGGUGUUGGUUUAUAGAGACAGCAGGACAGUGGCCAUGGAAGUCAUCUCACCAGCUGAAUCAACUAGGUCUGAAAAUGGAUGGCGCUGGAGCAUCUGGCCCAUACCCGGCCGGCGCUGAGAACCGCAGGGGCUAAGCCGCGAAGAGUAGGACGGCCGCUGCGGUGCACAAGGAAGCCCGGGCUAGGGCCAGGGUGGAGCCGCCACGGGUGCAGAUCUUGGUGAUAGUAGCAAAUAUUCAAACAAAAAUUUUGAAGACUGAAGUGGAGAAGGUUUCCAUGUGAACAUCAGUUGAACAUGGGUCAGUAGGUCCUAAGAAAUGGUCAAGCACCGUUUGGAAGGGACGGGCGAUGGCCUCCGUUGACCUCAGACGUUCGAAAGGGAGUCUGGUUCAGAUCACCAAACCAAGAGUGGUGGAGACAAGCACCCUCGCGGCUUACAGUGCGGUAACGCAAACAAUCCCAGAGAAGCUGGCGGUAUCCCCCGGGGAGAGUUCUGUUUUCUUUCAGAAGGGCAGGGCUCCCUGAAUGGGUUUGCCCCCAGAGAGGUGCCCGAGCCUUGGAAAGUGUUGCGGUUCCGGCGUUGUCCGGUGAGCUCUAGCUGGUCCUAGAAAAUCUGGGGGAGAUGGUGUAAAUCUUUCUCCGGGCCGUACCCUAUCCGCAGCAGUUCUCCACAGUGAACAGCCUCUGGCAUGUUGGAACAAUGUAGAUAAGGGAAGUCGGCAAGUUGGAUCCGUAACUUCAGGAUGGGCUGGGUUAGUCGGGCUGGGGUGUGGAGCGGUGCUGGCAGCACAGCAAGGCGUCUCCCCCCUAUAACCUCCCCAGGGCAGCACUGACUCUGGAUUUGAGCUGGGCCCAUCCUAUGAAUCACCCCAGCUGUGGUGGUCGCCUCUCUCCAUUCCCCUCCCGGGGUCUGUGGCCGGCGUUCUGCCUCGGCUGAUACCUAGCAGCUAACUUGGAACUGGUGCGGACCAGGGGAAUCCGACUGUUAAAUGAAAACAAAGAUUCACUCUAGUCUGGCACUGUGAAGAGACAUAAAGGUGUAGGUUAAGUGUGAGGCCCUUGGGCCGCCGUUGAAAUACCACUACUCAUCGUUUUUUCACUUACCCGUUGAGGCAGGGGGGCGAGCCCCGUGGGACUGUGGCUUCUGGCUCCAAGCGCCUGGUGCACUCCAGGUGCGACCCGCUCCCUGGACAGUGGCAGGUGGGGAGUUUGACUGGGCGGUACACCUGGCAAACCAUAACGCAGGUGUCCUAAGGCGAGCCCGGGGAGGACAGAAACCUCUAACAGAGCAGAAGGGCAAAAGCUUGAUUGAUCUCAUUUUUCAGUAUGAAUACAGACCAUGAAAGCGGGGCCUCAGGAUCCUUCUGACAUUUUGGGUUUCAAGAAGGAGGUGUCAGAAAUGUUACCACGGGAUAACUGGCUUUUGGCGGCCAAGCGUUCAUAGCGACAUUGCUUUUCGAUCCUUUGAAGUUGGCUCUUCCUAUUA